rnacentral:rRNA from 1 species
CCUACGGGAGGCAGCAGUAGGGAAUAUUGCUCAAUGGGGGAAACCCUGAAGCAGCAAAGCCGCGUGGAGGAUGAAGGUUUUCGGAUUGUAAACUCCUUUUGUUAGAGAAGAUAAUGACGGUAUCUAACGAAUCAGCACCGGGGAACACCGUGCCAGCAGCCGCGGUAAUACGGAGGGUGCCAGCGUUACUCGGAAUCACUGGGCGUAAGGGGCGCGUAGGCGGGAUAGCAAGUCAGGUGUGAAAUACUAUGACUUAACCAUAGAACUGCAUUUGAAACUGUUAUUCUAGAGUAGGGGAGAGGUAGGUGGAAUUCGUGGUGUAGGGGUAAAAUCCGUAGAGAUCAAGAGGAAUACGCAUUGCGAAGGCGACCUGCUAGAGCAUAACUGACGCUGAUGCGCGAAAGCGUGGGGAGCAAACAGGAUUAGAUACCCCUGUAGUC